GGCAUUUGACCCUUGGACCGUCUUUGAUAGGCAGUGGAGGGCCUUUUGGAAGCCUAAUUUGAGCAGCAUUGGGCCUUCGUUGAGCCGAUUUUGGGACUUCCUUUGGACUGUUUGGAGCUUAGUAAUAGAGCCAUCUACAGGAGAGG